UUGAUAUAUGAAUUAGUACAAUUAGUGAAAAAUAGUAGAAGUAGUUAAACGACAAAAAACGUACGGAAGACUGAAUAAUAACUAGAAAAAUAGCUGUUCCUAGCGAAACAGCCGUGAGAAUGCAUAUUUGCAGAAUGACUGCAGCAGAAAUGCAAGAAAAA